rnacentral:rRNA from 1 species
GAUGAACGCUAGCUACAGGCUUAACACAUGCAAGUCGAGGGGUAGCAGGGUAGCAAUACCGCUGACGACCGGCGCACGGGUGAGUAACACGUAUCCAACCUUCCCAUAACUCUGGGAUAGCCUUUCGAAAGAAAGAUUAAUACCGGAUGGUACUUUUUCAAGGCAUCUUGAGAAAGUUAAAGAUUUAUUGGUUAUGGAUGGGGAUGCGUUCCAUUAGAUAGCUGGUGAGGUAACGGCUCACCAAGUCUUCGAUGGAUAGGGGUUCUGAGAGGAAGGUCCCCCACAUUGGUACUGAGACACGGACCAAACUCCUACGGGAGGCAGCGGUGAGGAAUAUUGGUCAAUGGGCGAUAGCCUGAACCAGCCAAGUAGCGUGAAGGAUGAAGGUCCUAUGGAUUGUAAACUUCUUUUAUAGUAGAAUAAAGUGAUCCACGUGUGGAUUUUUGUAUGUAUACUAUGAAUAAGGAUCGGCUAACUCCGUGCCAGCCGCCGCCGUAA